rnacentral:rRNA from 1 species
AAUCUUGAGCGACGGAUGUCUUGGUGCGAGCAGCUAUGAAGGGCACAGCGAAGUGCGAUAAUCGCUGCAAACUGCAGAUCUUCGUGCAAGGGUCCAUCGGCCUUUACUUGGGUAGCUGGGGUUGAGGGUGGUAGGACUAGGGGUUCGGGGUGCCGGGUUCAGUGUCU